rnacentral:tRNA from 1 species
AAACCCGUGGUUUUAUA